UACGGGGGGGGUAAGCGUUGUUCGGAAUUACUGGGCGUAAAGGGCUCGUAGGCGGCCAACUAAGUCAUACGUGAAAUCCCUCAGCUUAACUGGGGAACUGCGUGUGAUACUGGAUGGCUUGGAUUUGGGAGAGGGAUGCGGAAUUCCAGGUGUAGCGGUGAAAUGCGUAGAUAUCCGGAGGAACACCGGUGGCGAAGGCGGCUUCCUGGCCCGACCCUGACGCUGAGGCGCGAAAGCUAGGGGAGCAAACGGG
rnacentral:rRNA from 1 species